GCCUGGGUGGCUCAGUCGGUUAAGCAUCUGACUUCGGCUCAGGUCAUGAUCUCGCGGUCCGUGAGUUUGAGUCCCGCGUCGGGCU
rnacentral:tRNA from 1 species